AAGAAACACAUGUGGCUGAGUGGCAGAGAUCAGGCACGGGACUUGAUGGGAAUCCUAAAUGAAUGGUGGGUCAUCAAUCUGCCAGCUGCCUUUAAUCUCAUCCACUGAGCCAGGGGUGUCCCCACUUGGGCAGUGGUUCAGAAUCUUAGAAGUCUCCUACACAUCUCGCUGGAGGUCCUAGUCCUGAUCACUAGUUGCAGAAGAUCUACAUGGAAAUAGAGAGCUCAG